CCAUUGAGUGGGGGAUAACGUAGCGAAAGUUGCGCUAAUACCGCAUAUUCUGUGAGCAGGAAAGUGGGGGGACCGCAAGGCCUCACGCUCUGGGAGCGGCCGAUGUCCGAUUAGCUAGUUGGUGGGGUAAAGGCUUACCAAGGCGACGAUCGGUAGCUGGUCUGAGAGGAUGAUCAGCCACACUGGGACUGAGACACGGCCCAGACUCCUACGGGAGGCAGCAGGUGGGGAAUUUUGGACAAUGGGGGCAACCCUGAUCCAGCCAUGCCGCGUGAGUGAAGAAGGCCUUCGGGUUGUAAAGCUCUUUUGGUCGGGAAGAAAGCGCCUUGCCUAAUACGCGAGGUGGUUGACGGUACCGGCAGAAUAAGCACCGGCUAACUACGUG
rnacentral:rRNA from 1 species